rnacentral:rRNA from 1 species
GAGACCUUCGGGUCUAGUGGCGCACGGGUGCGUAACGCGUGGGAACCUGCCUUUAGGUUCGGAAUAACUCAGAGAAAUUUGAGCUAAUACCGGAUAAUGUCUUCGGACCAAAGAUUUAUCGCCUUUAGAUGGGCCCGCGUUGGAUUAGCUAGUUGGUGGGGUAAAGGCCUACCAAGGCGACGAUCCAUAGCUGGUCUGAGAGGAUGAUCAGCCACACUGGGACUGAGACACGGCCCAGACUCCUACGGGAGGCAGCAGUGGGGAAUAUUGGACAAUGGGCGAAAGCCUGAUCCAGCAAUGCCGCGUGAGUGAUGAAGGCCUUAGGGUUGUAAAGCUCUUUUACCCGAGAUGAUAAUGACAGUAUCGGGAGAAUAAGCUCCGGCUAACUCCGUGCCAGCAGCCGCGGUAAUACGGAGGGAGCUAGCGUUGUUCGGAAUUACUGGGCGUAAAGCGCACGUAGGCGGCUUUUUAAGUCA